rnacentral:lncRNA from 1 species
AAAAUCUUUAGUUUAUUGGUUAAAAGUUCUAUAUAUAUAUUCAUGAGAUCUUGGUUUGAUCUCUUUUGCAACAACAUGUGAGUAGUAAUAAUAAUAAUACCUACAAGAAAAAAAAUGGUUUUAACGGGGUUUAGUUUUAUAUUAUCCAAGGUUAAAACCUUUAUUAAGUCAUUUACUUAGGGUUGCAAUUUCCCUCGCUAAACCAUCUCCGAGGAACGUGUUUUCAGGGAAAACCUCCAGAAAAAAAUUUCAGAACCCGUGUUAAAUACCCUAGGUUUAAGAAUCUCCGUAAAAUGCCAUGGAUUUCAAAACCUUUGUUAAAUAUCAUGGAUUUUAAAGCCUCCAUAAAAGACCACGGGUUUAAGAACCUCCAUAAAAUACCAUGAGUUUCAAAUUUCUGUAAUAUGACUUGCCGUUUGAAAUAAAUUUCAAACCCUAUUUUCCACAAUCUCUAACGAUCCUCCUAACUUCUCUCUUCCACCAUAUACACACCGCUCUCUGGCACAGACACAGUGGUCGUCGUCGAUAGUCCUUGAUAGGUGCAUGCUUUCAUUCGAUUGAUUUCUUUGGUGGAGUUUGCAGAAGCUUUCAUGGAUUGCUCACGGACAAGGCUCUCACAUGGAGAUCACAGUUGCCUUGGAGGUGCAGAACAAGUAUGGAGGUGAGAGGUUUGGCCAGCUCACUUGGAAGAUGAAGGUUGAAGACUAAACUUGCCUAUCCUAGAGAGGAAGUAGACAAGAGUGACAAAUUGGCACAAAAAUUUGGCAGCAAUUUCACUCUAUGAUUAAUCUUGAUUUUUACAUGAGGUAGGCUCCUCCUUUUAUAGUAAUGGAGGACCGGUCAAAUGAAAUGUAAAUGCAAGGGAAAUAGCUUUGGAAUGUCCACCAAAUGCAUCUUGGCACAUGGAGCACAUGAAACAUAUUUAACAUGUGUUUGAAAAGCUUUUAGCACAUGUUUCAUAUGGUUCAUGUGGAGGUAGUCGUGCAACACAUUUAUCACAUGGAGCAUGUGUUAAUUGUGUACUCUUCUACCUUGUUCCAAUCGGCCUAGGUGAAUUUAGAGGUUUUAGAAACUCUAAAUUAGCCUAGGUUGAUUUUAUGUGCCAAAACUAAAUUCCAAGAAAACUUACAGUAAUUUCCUAUUCUAAUUUUGACAGAAAAUAAAUUCUACUCUAUAUUAAGCUUCAUGGCCUUUGAACAAAUAGAGGAACCUUUCUCUGCUAUCAGUAGCAGUGUGCCAAUUCUAUUGAAUUCUUCUAGCCAUAACUCUUGUAGUUAGCCCGAAUCUUCUAUGUUUUGGGCUUGAGCUUGUAUUUGGGCUUGGGCUUGGGCCUCUACCAUCAUCCCCUCCCUUUUGAAAAGGAUUUUUCCUCAAAUCCAAUGCAUCUUCUUCUUCUUCUUAUUUACUUCUUGCAAAAGGUAUAAUAAUAUUGAAAGUAUGAUGAACUCCAUAUUCUUUAGGCAAAUCAAGAAUGUAUGCAUUGUUGUUGAUUCUUUUGAGAACUUGGAAAGGUCCAAACCCAGUCACCUUUCUCAAAAACUAUCUCUCUCUUCCCCUUAUUGCUAUGUUUGACAUAUUUCUCAGUUUGUAGUUGUAUUUGAGUUUUAAUUCUCUCACGCAAUUUCUUAACAAAUUCGGCUUUUGUUAUUCCUUCCUUAUGCACAAAUUCUUGUGGAUUAGGAAGAGGUAACAAGUCCAAAGGAAAAAGAGGAAUAAACCCAUAUAUAACUCCAAAUGGAGAAAUAUUGGUAGUUUUAUGGACUACCCUAUUGUCUGCAAAUUCAAUAUGAGGAAGGUACUCAUCCCAAGAUCUAUGGUUACCCUUCAUAACUGCCUGCAACAUAGUUGAAAGAGAUCUAUUUACUACAUCGGUUUGUCCAUCUAUUUGAUGAUGACAAGAAGUUGAAAACUUUUGUUUAGUUCCAAGCCUUUCCCAGAGAGUUCUCUAAAAAUGAAUUAUAAAUUUUGGAUCUCUAUUAGACACUAUGCUCUUGGGUAGACCAUGAAGUCUGACCAUUUCUCUAAAGAAGAGCCUAGAGAUAUUGUUUGCAUCAUCUAUCUUGUGGCAUGGUAUAAAAUGUGCCAUUUUACUAAACCUAUCUACAACCACAAAGAUAGAAUCAAAACCCCGUUGCAGUCCUAGGAAGUCCCAAAAUAAAGUCCAUGCUAAUGUCUUCCCACGGAGCAUUUGCAACAGGAAAAGGAGUAUAAAGUCCAUGAGGCAUUACUUUAGACUCGACUUUUAAACAUGAUAUACAUCUAAAGCAAUAUCUCUGAACAUCUUUUCUCAUGUGUGGCCAAAAUAAUUUUCCUUUUAAAAGCUCUAGAGUUUUAUCAACUUUAAAAUGGCCCAUGAGUCCUCCUUCGUGUGUUUCUUUUACAAGGAGCUUUCUAUGUAUUUCUUGAGGUAUACAAAGUUUUCCUUCUUUAAAAAGAUACCCCUCAGACACAUAAAGUCCUCCUUGGGCUCUAUGUUCACAUUGAGCAAAAGUGGAUGCAAAAUCUUUAUCUUCUUUAUACAACUCAGUUAUGUUUUGAAAUCCAAGAAUUUGGGCGCCAAGUUUUGAAAAAAGGGCAUGUCUUCUAGAUAAAGCAUCGACCACGAUAUUAGUACUGCCCUUCUUGUAUUUGAUAACAUAAGGAAAUUGUUCAAGAAAUUCCAUCCAUUUUGCAUGGUGUUUAUUCAACUUAUGUUGACCCUUAAGAUACUUUAAAGACUCAUGAUCACUAUGAAUGACAAACUUCUUAGAGACUAGAUAGCGCUCCCAAGUCUUCAAUGCCCUCACAAGUGCAUAAAGCUCUUUAUCAUAGGUGGUGAUGGAAAAAGUGCCUUCAUGUGUGACGAAACUUGAAUGAUGGUGGCGGAAGCAUAUGAAAGAGGCGUGCAAGGAUCUCCUAAGAGGUGUGGUAUCCUUGAAGGUGCAUGAGAUGUAUGAUGAGUGAUAGGUGAGGCCUAAUCACUUGGAGGGUGAAGAAUGAAGAUCAAACAUCUAUCCUAGGGAGAGUAGGAGACAAGAGUGUAAUUGGCACAAAUUUGACAGCAAUUCACUCAUAUGAUUAAUCUUCCAAUUACAUGAGUCAAGCCCUCUUAUUUAUAAUGUUUAGAGGGCUGAAAAUUCAAAUGAAAGUGGAGGGAAAUUCAAAUGAGAAGCAUUUGAAUUUAGAGCCAAUUUCCUAGUCACAAGGGAAGUAUGACUUGAUUUCUUUCUUUGGCACCUCCUAAAUCUACACCUACACCUUCUUUUUAUGUCACAUGGAAGGUGUGACUUAUCUUUAUACAUUUUCACCUCUUAUAUCUAUAUCUACACCUCCCUUUAUGUUAUACUAAAAACUACUCAAAAGUAAUUACAAAAAGAGACAUCCAAUGAUGCUUAGUUGACCCAUAUCUUCUAUGUGUUGGGCUUGAGCUAAAGCUUGAACUUGUAUUUAGACUUGGGCUUGGGCUUCUUCUAUCAUGGGCUUGGGCCUCUACCAUCAGGUGAGGUAGUUGAGGGUGGCACCAUGAAGUUUUUCACUUAAAUAAGCUAUUGGGUGCCCACCUUGCAACAACACUGUACCUAUGCCUACUCCUGAUGCAUCAUAUUCUAGCUCAAAAGUUUUUGCAAAAUUUGGUAGAGCUAGGACGGGUGCAUUAGUGAGGAGAGCUUUAAGCCUCUUGAAGGCUUGAUCUUGCUUCUCUGUCCAACAGAAUGGAGUGUCUUUCUUCACUAACUCAUUGAGGGGUGAAACUAGACUUGAGAAAUUAGGCACAAAUCUUUUAUAAAAAUUUGCUAGCCCAUGAAAACUCCUAACAUCUCCUACAUUUUGUGGAAUUGACCAUUCUUGGAUGGCUUUGAUUUUCUCGGGGUCAACAUGCACCCCAUUUUUGUUAACUAUAAAACCUAGAAAUACUAUACUAUCAACACAAAAGGUACAUUUAUCUAUAUUAGCAAACAAGUUAUUGAUCCUAAGCACUAUGAGAACUUCCCUAAGGUGGCUUAGGUGGUCUUCUAGGUUUUUGUUGUAUACUAAUACAUCAUCAAAAUAAACUACUAUAUAUUUUCCUAUACAAUCUCUCAAGACAUGAUUCAUAAGCCUCAUGAACGUACUUGGUGCAUUAAUGAGUCUGAAAGGCAUCACUAACCAUUCAUAUAAUCCAAAUUUGGUUUUGAAAGCAAUUUUCCACUCAUCACCUUCUUUAAUUCGAAUUUGGUGAUAGCCACUUUUAACAUCAAAUUUUGAAAAUAUAAUGGACCCAUGCAGUUCAUGAAGCAUAUCAUCUAGUCUUGGGAUUGGAUGCCGAUACUUGAUGGUGAUAUUAUUGAUGGCUCUACAGUCACAACACAUUCUCCACUUGCCAUCCUUUUUAGGCACCAACAAGACAGGAACAACACAAGGACUAAGGCUUUUUUGGACCCAACCCUUAUCCAACAAAUCCUAAACUUGUGUUUCUAUCUCUUUUGUUUCAUCAGGAUUACUUCUAUAAGCCGUUUUAUUGGGUAGACUAGCUCUCAGAACUAAAUCGAUUUGAUGUUCUAUUCCUCUAAAAGGGGGAAGUUCCAUUGGACCUUCCUUAGAAAAUACAUCACCAAAUUCUUUUAAAAGCUCUUUUAUCAAAGGAGGUAGAUCAUUAGACUCAGCAUUUGUGGCAGUGCAUGUUAGUGUUCCUUUACAAAGAAGGAGGCCGGUAGGUUGUUCAGAAAGAAGUAUUUUUUUAACUUUGUUUUCAACUUUUUCUUCUUUCUGAAUGACCUUGUGGGAAGGAACACUUUUCUCCCACGUCUCUUUUUCCUUAAAAACUUUUUCUUGGGUUUCUAAUUCCUUUUUUAUCCUCAUCCUUUAUUUAUUUUUUUCAUUUGAACUUGGUCCUUUACCACUUGUGAUGGUGGUAGUGGAUAAAGCACAAACUUCUUUUUCUUGGUGGGUGAAAGUAAUCUCAUUAGUAACACCAUUGUGCAUGGUUUUCUUAUCAAAUUGCCAAGGUCUUCCUAAUAAAAUAUGACAAGCUUCCAUGGGAACUACAUCACAUAAAAUGUUAUCUUUGUAGUUUUCCACAUAAAACUCGACUUUCACUUGUUUAUCUACAGUUAGUUCCCCACCCUCAUUAAUCCAUUGAAGUUUGUAAGGUUUUGGAUGAGGUACUACUUGUAGACUAAGUUUUUCAACCAUCCUAAGGCUACAACAAUUGCAGCAUGAUCCACUAUCCACAAUGAGAGAACAUAUAUUUUCAAAAACUUUACAUCUUGUAUGGAAGAUGUUCUCUCUUUGUGUUUCUUGAAUCAUCUUAGGUUGAUUGUUGAGGGUUCUACGGAUCAUCAUUAGUUCGCCCUCACAUGGAUAUACCCCUUCAUUAUUUUCUUUUUCUUCCUCUUCCUCCCCACUAGCUACAUCACUUUGGCUUGUAUAUUCGUCCUUCCCUCGUAAGAAUAUGGUUCUCCUAUUUGGGCACUGGGCGGCUAUAUGACCUCUUCCAAAGCAUUUAAAACACUUAGUAUCUCGGCUACGGGGUUGAGGGGUUAUCACAUCUUUUCCUAAACUUUUGGAAGUUUCCUUAGGUUUCUCUCUUGACAUAUUAUCCUCCCUUUCUUUUCUAUACUCUUUCUUUGGAUAAGAGCUAGGGUAUGUACUUUCCCUACGACUUGAAGUUUUCCUCAAAAUUUGUUGCUCAAUUUUGAUACACAAUUGAAUUAAAUCAUUCAAGUCUCGGUAGGGUAAAAGUUCAACCCUAUCUCUAAUCUCAAGAUUGAGUCCACUCAAGAAUCUAGCUAUGGUGGUGGUCUCAUCUUCCCUAAUGGAAGCUCGCAUCAUAUAUAAUUCCAUCUUCUACUAUACUCCUCUACACUCAUAGAUUUUUGUUGGAGUCUUAGGAGCUUGUCCAUUAACUCCCUAUUAUAAUAUGAGGGUAUAUGUCGGCGUCUUAAGGCUCCCCAAAGGUCGUUCCAAUAUUCUAUGGGAGGAUCCUUAUGAAGAUGCCUAUCUCUUUCUAAGGCAGUCCACCAAUACAUAGCAUUUCCUUGAAAGCUUAAGGUGGCUAAGGGUACUUUUCUUUCCCCACUCACCCUAUGGCAAGCAAACAAUUGUUCUACCUUCAUUUCCCAUGGAAAUAAGGUAGAUCUACCCUAACCUCCUUAACACUUUCCUUUUCUUUUCUUUCUCUUCUAGUUUGCAUAGGGGGUGGUUGAUAGUAUUAAUUUAUCCUAAGACUUUCUUCUCCAAAAUAAUCGUUACCCCUAAAACUAGAUGUAUGAGAACUUUUUUUAGAUUUAUGAGAGGAUUCAUCCCUUUCUUUAACCAUUUUCAACUCUUUUUCCAUCAAUGCAAAAUGAGCAUCCCUCUCUUUGAGUUGAGCCUCAUAUUCCAAUUGUCUAUGUGAAAGUGAUUGAAAGUCUCUUGAUAGUUGUUUUAAAAGAGCUUUUAUUGACUUUAUAGCACUUUCACUAGAAUGAGAAGAAUGAGCCGACAUGAUUAAAGUUUGUGUUAAAAGUAAUUUACCUUAAGAAAGAUAGGUGUAGUAAUGAAGGUAGAUUCCCAGGAAAGGGAGGUGAAUCACUUGGAUCGCUUAAGUUCCAAGACUUUCCUAGCCAGAUUCUAUCCUCCAAGACUUUCACAAACCUUUCUCUAAGUAAUUCACUUAGAGCACAACCAAGAAUGAAAACUCAAUUUGUAUGUAAGAAAAAUAAGGCAAAGCAAUAAACCACUUACUAGAAAACAAUUGCUAUCUAGAAAAUCUUGUAAACUAGACAUUUCCUAAGGUGAGGCUUCUUGGCACUUUGAACCUUGAAGACACACUCACCGUCUAAUACGCAAUUAGUAAAAAAAAUUGAAGAUUAACUAGAACUAGAAAGCUUUAAACUAGUCGAAGUCCUGAUGGUGUGGCUUUUUGGCACUUUGAACCUCAAAGACACAUUCACCGUCUAAUUGGCGUGAUUAAUUCCACUAAUUAUUGAAUGUUUAACAAUUUUCAACUCAAAAGAAAUACAAUGGGAAUUGGAUUACAAAAGAAAAUUUAGAAAUCCUAUUUUAUGCACUUUUUUUGCUUGUUGGUACUCCUUGUUGUUACUCUUGCUAUUGGCACCCACUCUUUGUGUAUUUUGUAAACUCACUUGUUGUUGUACUCUUGUUUAACCUUUCAAGUAUAUUCAAGUUAAGUCUUCAAAAUAGCACCUACUAAGUAAUACUGGACUAACCACAAAGGUGAGCUCCAAACUUAACCAAGCACCACUUUUGAAAACUUCCACCAGAGAUAGAGGUCAACAAAUUUCAAAGCAACAAAAUAUUUCAAUACGGAAUUGGACUACAGCAAAGGGAGUAAUAAUGUGACAAAUUGAAAGAGUAAUUGAAAAAAUUGAUAAGUAAGAAAAAUAAGGUAAUCAACAAAGCUAGCACAUAAAGUGAACCUAGGGAAAGUUACUAGAAUUGAAUUAGGAAAACCAAAACUGGACCACAAAAUUUUUUUUAAGCGUAAAAAGAUAUGACUUAAAACAAUUAUUCUGAAUUGUAGAAUGCAAAUAUGACUUUGAAAUUUUAACCAAAGUUAUUUCAAGAUCUUAAAUAAAUUUUGGCACUGAAAUCAUAUUAAAAAGAUGUACCAAUUAAUUGCAAUAAAAUUUCCGAAUCUACUGCCAAAACACCGUUUUUCCAGCGUUAGUUUUGAACACUGGUAGAAUUUGAUUUAUCAUUUUUUUUCUACUACGAAUUUUGAGUCACUUCUUUUUUCUUUUCUUUUUUUCUAACAAAUCAAUCUUUCCAAAUCCAGAAUUUAAUAAUUUUUGGACAUCAGAAUCAAAUUCUUUGAUCAAAACAGUCAGCUUAGUUUCAACAAAAACAGAAGAAGUCUAAUUCUGGAAUUAAAAACAAUUUUGAGAAACUUCAAAAACACAAUAGCGUUGAUGUAUAGGAAUUUACGUGGAUCUAUCACACAAAUAUGAAAUAAAAUAAAAAUGCACAAAAGGAUCAAACAAUUCAGAUUAUAAACUGGACUCAAGAUCAAAUUAAGAAACCAAAUCAAUCAAGAAAAGUACUUCUAGGAUUUGAUAACAAUUCUUGGAAGCACAUGACUUGACAUAACAUGUAUAGAUUCAUAAAACCAAAAGACUCAAAAUCUAAACAGAUUGCACCUAUUGAAUCAUCAAGAAUCAUCAAGAAAUACUCAAAACCUACAAAAUCGAAACAGUAUACCAAAAUACACAAGAAUCCUACAUAAAAUUGCAAAAUAGAAGCUCAAGAUCAAUUUGAACAUGUUUGCACAGAUUGGAAUAAUCCAAACAGCAAUCAAAAUAAAAAAACAAGGUUCAAUACAACAAGACAAGCAAGCACAAUGGAAGAACAACACAGAAUAGAAUGAAGAACAAAGUCAAAAAGAGAAACAAGAUGAAAACACUUAUCUCUUGAAGACCAUGGCUCUAGAUACAACUUGAUAGGUGCAUGUUUUCAUCCGAUUGGUUUCUUUGCUGGAGUUUGCGGAAGCUUUCAUGGAUUGCUCACGAACAAGGCUCUCACAUGGAGAUCACUGUUGCCUUGGAGGUGCAGGAGAAGUAAGGAGGUGAGAGAUUCGGCCAGCUCACUUGGAAGAUGAAGGUUGAAGACUAAACUUGCCUAUCCUAGAGAGGAAGUAGACAAGAGUGACAAAUUGGCACAAAAAUUUGGCAGCAAUUUCACUCUAUGAUUAAUCUUGAUUUUUACAUGAGGUAGGCUCCUCCUUUUAUAGUAAUGGAGGACCGGUCAAAUGAAAUGUAAAUGCAAGGGAAAUAGCUUUGGAAUGUCCACCAAAUGCAUCUUGGCACAUGGAGCACAUGAAACAUAUUUAACAUGUGUUUGAAAAGCUUUUAGCACAUGUUUCAUAUGGUUCAUGUGGAGGUAGCUGUGCAACACAUUUAUCACAUGGAGCAUGUGUUAAUUGUGUACUCUUCUACCUUGUUCCAAUCGGCCUAGGUGAAUUUAGAGGUUUUAGAAACUCUAAAUUAGCCUAGGUUGAUUUUAUGUGCCAAAACUAAAUUCCAAGAAAACUUACAGUAAUUUCCUAUUCUAAUUUUGAC